rnacentral:miRNA from 1 species
AAUCUCUUGGUGCUUAUUCGC